GGAUUGUGCUCAGUGGUAGAGCACUCCCCUAGCAUGGGUGGGACCUGGGAUUGAUUCUCAGCACCA
rnacentral:tRNA from 1 species